rnacentral:tRNA from 1 species
GGGGCUGGGGCUCAGUGGUAGAGCACUUGCCUCCCGCGUGAGAGACUCUGGGUUUGAUCCUCAGCACCA